rnacentral:rRNA from 1 species
GGGGAAUAUUGCACAAUGGGGGAAACCCUGAUGCAGCGACGCCGCGUGAGUGAAGAAGUAUUUCGGCAUGUAAAGCUCUAUCAGCAGGGAAGAAAAUGACGGUACCUGACUAAGAAGCCCCGGCUAACUACGUGCCAGCAGCCGCGGUAAUACGUAGGGGGCAAGCGUUAUCCGGAUUUACUGGGUGUAAAGGGAGCGUAGGUGGCAUAUCAAGUCAGAUGUGAAAGCCCGGGGCUCAACCCCGGGAUUGCAUUUGAAACUGGUUUGCUAGAGUGCAGGAGAGGUAAGUGGAAUUCCUAGUGUAGCGGUGAAAUGCGUAGAUAUUAGGAGGAACACCAGUGGCGAAGGCGGCUUACUGGACUGUAACUGACACUGAGGCUCGAAAGCGUGGGGAGCAAAC